rnacentral:rRNA from 1 species
GUGAGGAAUAUUGGACAAUGGGCGAAAGCCUGAUCCAGCCAUGCCGCGUGUGUGAAGAAGGUCUUCGGAUUGUAAAGCACUUUAAGUUGGGAGGAAGGGCAGUAAGUUAAUACCUUGCUGUUUUGACGUUACCAACAGAAUAAGCACCGGCUAACUUCGUGCCAGCAGCCGCGGUAAUACGAAGGGUGCAAGCGUUAAUCGGAAUUACUGGGCGUAAAGCGCGCGUAGGUGGUUUUGUAAGUUGGAGGUGAAAUCCCCGGGCUCAACCUGGGAACUGCCUCCAAAACUGCAUGACUAGAGUACGGUAGAGGGUAGUGGAAUUUCCUGUGUAGCGGUGAAAUGCGUAGAUAUAGGAAGGAACACCAGUGGCGAAGGCGACUACCUGGACUGAUACUGACACUGAGGUGCGAAAGCGUGGGGAGCAAACAGGAUUAGAAACCCCAGUAGUCC